GGAUGUGGCUCAAUGGUAGUCGGUAGAGGCGUAGAGCACUCACUUUACAAGUGAGAAGUAGGGGGUUCAAACCUCACUAUCAUCA
rnacentral:tRNA from 1 species